CUAGAAAUAGAGCUAGCUAAAACCUUAAGACGUAAAAAAAAGUAUUUUUUUUUUACGAGUCUUUAGCACAUU
rnacentral:tRNA from 1 species